UGGGGAAUAUUGCACAAUGGGCGGAAGCCUGAUGCAGCGACGCCGCGUGGGGGAUGACGGCCUUCGGGUUGUAAACUCCUUUCGACAGGGUCGAAGCUUUUUGUGACGGUACCUGUAUAAGAAGCACCGGCUAACUACGUGCCAGCAGCCGCGGUAAUACGUAGGGUGCGAGCGUUGUCCGGAAUUACUGGGCGUAAAGAGCUCGUAGGUGGUUUGUCGCGUCGUCUGUGAAAUUCCGGGGCUUAACUCCGGGCGUGCAGGCGAUACGGGCAUAACUUGAGUGCUGUAGGGGAGACUGGAAUUCCUGGUGUAGCGGUGAAAUGCGCAGAUAUCAGGAGGAACACCGAUGGCGAAGGCAGGUCUCUGGGCAGUAACUGACGCUGAGGAGCGAAAGCAUGGGUAGCGAACAGG
rnacentral:rRNA from 1 species